AGUAGACGUUCAGAGUUUGAUCCUGGCUCAGGACGAACGCUGGCGGCGUGCCUAAUACAUGCAAGUCGAGCGGACCGGAUUGGGGCUUGCCUUGGUUCGGUCAGCGGCGGACGGGUGAGUAACACGUGGGCAACCUGCCUGCAAGACCGGGAUAACUCCGGGAAACCGGAGCUAAUACCGGAUAACACCGAAGACCGCAUGGUCUUCGGUUGAAAGGCGGCCUUUGGGCUGUCACUUGCGGAUGGGCCCGCGGCGCAUUAGCUAGUUGGUGAGGUAACGGCUCACCAAGGCGACGAUGCGUAGCCGGCCUGAGAGGGUGACCGGCCACACUGGGACUGAGACACGGCCCAG
rnacentral:rRNA from 1 species